rnacentral:rRNA from 1 species
UGGGCGCAAGCCUGAUGCAGCCAUGCCGCGUGUAUGAAGAAGGCCUUCGGGUUGUAAAGUACUUUCAGCAGUGAGGAAGGUGGGUAUGUUAAUAGCAUAUUCAUUUGACGUUAGCUGCAGAAGAAGCACCGGCUAACUCCGUGCCAGCAGCCGCGGUAAUACGGAGGGUGCGAGCGUUAAUCGGAAUUACUGGGCGUAAAGCGCAUGCAGGUGGUUUGUUAAGUCAGAUGUGAAAGCCCGGGGCUCAACCUCGGAAUUGCAUUUGAAACUGGCAAACUAGAGUACUGUAGAGGGGGUAGAAUUUCAGGUGUAGCGGUGAAAAUGCGUAGAGAUCUGAAGGAAUACCGGUGGCGAAGGCGGCCCCCUGGACAGAUACUGACACUCAGAUGCGAAAGCGUGGGGAGCAAACAGGUUUAGAUACCCUGGUAG